AUGGGGGCCUCUGCCCUCCAGCCUCGGUGGAGUUUGUGGGGAUCGGAGGCGCGGGGGAGCUUGGUGAGGCCCAGCUCCGCAGGUUGGCGCCUGGCUGCCUCCGCUCAGACCCAGGUCCUCGGCUGCGCCCCGGCCCCUGCGGCCGCCCCGAGCCCUGCCCCUCCCCAGCUCCCUGGGCCGGCUAAGGGGGCCGCUCGGGUCCCCGACUCGCCUGAGCCAUCCCUGGACGCCUGGAGCCUCCCCCGCCAGGGGCUUCUGCGCCCUGGCUCCCCGCCCCCCCCCAGGCUCCUCCCGUGCGGCUGCGUCCUCCCCUCGGCGGGGGAUGGCCUGGGCAGGUCAGCGGGUCUCCGAGGCCCCAGCCAGCAGCGCCCUCGCGGCCGGGCCCCUGAGCAGGGAGCCCCCGUGGAAUUCCAGCCAGGUCGGGGGUCGCAGGGCGGCGGCGUUGGUGGCACCCUAGGGCCUGCUGUCAAGGUCAAGGGCGUGGGGGCAGCCAGGGCCACGCCCUUCCCCGCCCGGAGCCACCGGGAGGCUCGCUGCGCCAUUGAACGAAGCUCCUCCUUUAGACUCGCGUAACAGGCCGACCCGGGUCACCGGCCCACCCCCUCCCCAAAACCAGCUCUUUCACAUCAGGAACCUCGGGCCACGACUUCCCUUUGAACACUUCCUGGAUGACAUCUGCUUCCUGGUUGGAGGCCUCCCACCGAAACCUCCUUCCCGCGCUUGGGCAGCCUGCCC
rnacentral:lncRNA from 1 species